CAAUUUACAGUGACCUUCAAAAGAAAUAGAAAUGUAAUAACUUCAGCCUUAACUAAUCUCAAGGAACGGUGCCAGCAAAUAGGGAGAGAGACUUGGUCUGCAGACCAACCACAUAAGGCAGCACACAUCUCCACUGUCACAUGGAAAGGGAGGAGAGUAGAUGGGGCAAGAUGAGGUAGGAAAAAUAGAUUCACAGUUUGAUUUCAUAACAGGUGUUUAAACUACGACCAAGGCUUCUCUUAUUCACUUUCCAGAUAUGUAUUAAUAAUGAAAGAGAGAGCAGAAGGGAGAGCCUCUUGUGUAACCAUUUUCAGACACCGGGGACCUGCCUGGCUUCCUCAACCCAGGUUCUGGUUUUCACUAUGAUUUGGAACCCUGUUUUCCUCUGCAUUGGAAGGAGAAUCAAGGAGAAGGACCUAAAGUCUUCAGGUGAAGAAUAUGGUCCCAGAAUGAUCACAUAUUGAUCCCAUCUGUAUGGAGCUACCGUGAAAGAAGACUACAUAAUACGAGUCUGAGACUAAAUAGAGAAUGUGCAGAAGUGAUGCUCUCAAUGAAGAAACAGAUUAUUUUCUUAGAAGAGAUUCUUAGUAGUAGAAUUACAGAAAAGAAACAAACGUGUACACGUUCUCUCUACCACAUGAACUACUUCCUCUGCUUCUUGAAAUUAUCACAUAGUCAGUAAACAAGCACCACCACCACCACCACAGAUGAGCUCAGAAAUAAAGUCACAAGCUUGAAGAGGAUGAUGACUUCCAGCUUCCUUCUGGACCUGGUUGCUAAAGUGCCAGUUGAAGAUUGGGGAAUGGGCUGUUUCUUAACAGUCUUAAUAUUUAGCCGCAGUAUUGUAUUUCCAAGGAACUGUGGUUGGAAUUUACUGUCACUAAUUCUCACAGCACCGUUCUGCUCUAAGUGGGGGUUGUUAUUUCUCAGAGAGGGAAAACACCUAAAAACAUAUUUACUGUAUUCAUCCCGGGGUCCUUCAGAUUUACUUAUACAUGUGCUAUGCACACUGGAAAAGAAUUAGGGUAACCAGAUGGAUUUUUCUCCUCAGCAUUGGAUCAAAACAACUGGGCUAAGAUUAAAGACUACAUUUUGGGUCAAAUGAGUAUAUUUCUACUGUUUAACAUUCCAGAAUGGGACUGAGAAUGAGUUAAAAGGAAGAGAGGACACUCCUCUGUGCAACAAAGCUAGAUUGUUUAAAUGGGUUAAAUUGAUAGAGAAUGAAGUUACAAAAUGCUCCUCCUUGUCCUAUAUUGAUAAAAAUCUGUACUUCUGUCUCUGUCAUUUUCCUGCCCUUUGUAGUGGUAGAAAACUGUGUUAUUACUUUCUUCUAAGUUUUGGGGAGUCUGUAUAAUAUUUAAUUAAAAGGAAAUCAAAAUAAUAUAUUGUAUAAAACAGCUAGUUGCGGGAUCAUCUGGUAGAUCAGUGGGCUUCUGAGUGAUAUGAUUUUUUUUGGCUCAAAAAUAUUUAUGAUCUAAAUAAGAGCAAGUAUCUUUGCUUAAUCUAUUUGAAUAAAUCUAGAAAUCUAGAAAAAUUAGUUUGAAAGACAUGCUUGUUUAUAAGCGAGACAAUAAUUAUGCCAAAUUGUAAAGUCAUGAUUUUGAAAUUAGAAAAUUCUGUGCUAUUUUUCUAAACAUAUAUGUUUAGAUUUGUAUGUUUGAUACUAAGGAAUUUAUGUCCUCAUGGGAAGGUUCCUGUAUCUAAGCAAUGUCACCUUCAGAUAGAGGUGUUUUUCUUAGUUAAGGAUGAGCUUUAAAUGAGAGUUAAUGAACUUGAAGAAACAUUAAGAAAAUCUUUCUGUGUUUAUCUCUUUAUUUAAAGAAAACUGGGAAAUUAGUGUUAACAAUUACAUUUUAAAAACAAUUUCAAUACAAUAGGCUCUUAAAGAGAACAAACUUCUAGGAUUAUUUUGAUUCUCUUUUCACUACUUUUUAUUUUCAUGUAUUCCUAAUUAUUCCCUGACAAAUAUAUUAACUAGAAUAUUUCUUUUUAACUGACUCAGAUUGUUUUAUAGUAAGAUACUUUUACAUGUAAUAGAUAUGGCCAGGUCUUUGAACUGGUGUCCCUGGGCUGGUAAGAUUGUCUUUCUCAGACCAAUCAGCUUAUCAGAACAGAAAGUACCUUAUUUUGUAUGUAGCAGGGAUUAGAGGCACUCUACACACCUUCAAGAACUUCACCAUGGCUAUCUUUUCUAACAGUGGGGAACAAUUUUCUGUGCUCCUCAGAAAAGACAGAAUUUCCAUUUGUAUACAAUGGUGUUCCUUUUCCACUGUCACCUCUCAACUGGCUCACAGGGAGUGUCCUUAUUGGCUGAUUAAGCAGGAAUUAGAGAUCAGUUUUGACAAAAAAGUACUAUUUGCAUCUCUUUCAGAAGUGAAACUUAUCUUUGGGGUAAAUCCCCAACAGUGCAAUUGCUGGGUCGUAGGGCAGGUCUAUUUUUAACUCUUUGAGGAACCUCCACACAGUUUUCCAGAGUGGCUGCACCAGUUCACAUUCCC